UCGGCCAAUGGUCAUAUACACUGUAUGGAGUGACGUUUAUCUGACAUGGCUAUUUUUACGUUACGAGACACAAGCGCUGGUGGCCUAGCGGUAAUAGCGUGCGACUUGCAAUCCGAAGGUCGCAGGUUCAAACCCUGGCUCGUACCAAUGAGUUUUUCGGAACUUAUGUACGAAAUAUCGUUUGAUAUUUACCAGUCGCUUUUCGGUGAAGGAAAACAUCGUGAGGAAACCGGACUAAUCCCAAUAAGGCCUAGUUUCCCCUCUGGGUUGGAAGGUCAGAUGGCAGUCGCUUUCGUAAAAACUAGUGCCUACGCCAAAUCUUGGGAUUAGUUGCCAAGCGGGCCCCAGGCUCCCAUGAGCCGUGGCAAAAUACCGGGACAACGCGAGGAAGAA